rnacentral:rRNA from 1 species
GGUAAUGCUGGGGACGUCUAAGGAUACUGCCCCGGUUAACGGGGAGGAAGGUGGGGAUGACGUCAAGUCAGUAUGUCCCUUACGGGCUGGGCUACACACGUGCUACAAUGGUGGUGACAGUGGGCAGCGAGCACGCGAGUGUGAGCUAAUCUCCAAAAGCCAUCUCAGUUCGGAUUGCACUCUGCAACUCGAGUGCAUGAAGUUGGAAUCGCUAGUAAUCGCGGAUCAGCAUGCCGCGGUGAAUACGUUCCCGGGCCUU